UACGAAGGGUGCAAGCGUUACUCGGAAUUACUGGGCGUAAAGCGUGCGUAGGCGGUUUGUUAAGUCCGUUGUGAAAGCCCUGGGCUCAACCUGGGAAUUGCAGUGGAUACUGGCGAGCUAGAGUGCGGUAGAGGAUGGUGGAAUUCCCGGUGUAGCGGUGAAAAUGCGUAGAUAUCGGGGAGGAACACCGGGUGGCGAAGGCGGGGUCUCUGGGGCAUCUCCUGACGCUGAGGGCGCGAAAACGUGGGGGACAAACGGGG
rnacentral:rRNA from 1 species